GAUGAACGCUAGCUACAGGCUUAACACAUGCAAGUCGAGGGGCAGCAUGAACUUAGCUUGCUAAGUUUGAUGGCGACCGGCGCACGGGUGAGUAACACGUAUCCAACCUGCCGAUGACUCGGGGAUAGCCUUUCGAAAGAAAGAUUAAUACCCGAUGGCAUAGUUCUUCCGCAUGGUAGAACUAUUAAAGAAUUUCGGUCAUCGAUGGGGAUGCGUUCCAUUAGGUUGUUGGCGGGGUAACGGCCCACCAAGCCUUCGAUGGAUAGGGGUUCUGAGAGGAAGGUCCCCCACAUUGGAACUGAGACACGGUCCAAACUCCUACGGGAGGCAGCAGUGAGGAAUAUUGGUCAAUGGACGAGAGUCUGAACCAGCCAAGUAGCGUGAAGGAUGACUGCCCUAUGGGUUGUAAACUUCUUUUAUACGGGAAUAAAGUGAGGCACGUGUGCCUUUUUGUAUGUACCGGAUGAAUAAGGAUCGGCUAACUCCGUG
rnacentral:rRNA from 1 species